UAAAUUUUAAUUUUUAAUUUAAGUUUAAAUUAAAAUUUAAAAUAAUAUAUUUAAUUUUUAAAUUUUAACUCAUAUUUUAAUUAAAAAAUUUGAAAAAAUAAAUUUAAUCCGAAUAAAUAUCCAUUCUGUCCGGAUUCAACUUUCAAUCCGGCCUUCUAGGCCGGAUUGAAAAAAGAGGUGAUUGGGAGAUUCCCAUUCCACUCAGGAAUCGGAAUCGGAAUGGGACUCCCACGUACCAAACACCCACAAAUGGAUUCACCCAUUCCGAUUCCGAUUCCAGGAUGAAAAAGAAGCGAACCAAACACGCCCUUAGUGUAAGUUAACCAAUUAAUUUUUUUUUCUUUAUGUUUUUUUUUUUUUGCUUUUAGGAAGCGAAGACCAUAUUAAUCUUUAAUAUACUAUGCCACAAAGAUUUGAUAUGUUCAUCUAUAGAUAAUUUUUUAUCACCUAUAUAUGAUAUAGUGCAUAUUUUUAUAUAGGCAGAAAAUAAUCACCUGUAUCAUUUUUGAUACACUUAGGGCCCGUUUGGAUUGGGUACAAAUUAAAAUUUUUAAAUUUGCUAAAAUACUACAAAUUAAAAUAUUUAAAUUUGAUAAAAUAUUAUUUACCCGCCGCAAAGCGCGGGCCCUACACUAUUAACAUAUAUGAUUUCUCAAUAAUCUUACUGAUAUGGCACAAUCACAUUACUUUAGAAGUUUUUUUUUUUUUUUUUUUAACUCAGCCCAUGUUCCCUUAUCUUAACUCCAACUCCUCUAUCUUCUCCUUGCAACGUAUACCUAACCUUCCCCCUCUCUUAAGCAUAAACUUCCACUCCUCCAUCUUCUUCUUGCAAUAAAUCUAUUAAUUUACAAACUUCUAUUAAUUAAUUAACAUAUAUGAUUUAUUCCCCUUGGCUUCACUCCCAUCCCUCCAUCUUCUCCUUGCAAUGUACAUGUACAUUACCUUUCCGCUCUCUUAGCAUAAACUUUCACCCCUCCAUCUUCUUCUUGCACCAAAUCUAUUAAUUUCACAAAUUUAUUACUUUAUCAAGUUAGAGCAUAUCAACACAACUAGGAUUAGCAACUUCAUAAUAAAAUAUUUUUAAAGAGUUAAUUUUAUAUUAGAGGACCGGAGGGCGAUGGGAGAUGCGGGGCCGGGGAGGCGGGGCGGCAUCGAGGCUGAGGACGGUGCUAUUGCCGACAAUGACUAUGGCAACAGCGACCGCGUCCUCAGUGGUGGCGGUACCCGUGGCGGUAAUUUUAUUUAUUUAUUUAUUUACUUAUUUAUUUUGAGCUUUUUAGAAUUUGAUGGCUCUUUUCAACUAGAAUUUUCGUGCUCAAAAUAUGAUAAGAAUUGGAUCAUUUUUUUGGCCCAUUAUUUGUAACUGACAAUAGUUAUUUACGGACUGAUUGGAGAUAAAAAACGAAUAAUUGGAAUAACUAAUUUUAUAUAUAUUUUUAAUUUGAUAUAAAAUAUAUGUAAGAUUCAAAAUAUAUAAAUAUGAAAAAAUAUCAAGCUAGCCCAAAUUAGAUCGUGCUAUUCUCUUCCAUUCUCUUUAUAAGUUUCUGAGUAUACAUCUAAUUUUUCUUUAAGAAAAAAAAUAUUAGAAACAAUUCCUAAGACUAAUCUGACGCAACCUACUUACGCCUCUACCUUUUAUUUAUUUUAUAAUGUGAAUAGAGCAUUUUAUAUAAUUCACAUUGACGUCUGUAGGUUUCCUAAGCCACAGAAGCUCAAACCCUUGAAUUUAUAAUUUCAAGUCAAGUAUUUUAUCCACCUAUCCUAAGGUGUAUUAGUUGCUCAAUUAAUUUGUUUAAAAAUUAGAUCGAAAGUGGUCACAUUUUAUGCUGUAAAUUUACCUUUUUGAUAUGAUAAAAUUCUUUUCAUUGUGUCUACUUCAGUUAAUAAAUUACUUACUUUCUUUUCGGAUACAGAAAAAAGUAUGAACCACCUCACCAAGAAAGCAACGAGUCAGGUAAUGGUUUAUUGGAAAUGCUAUUGCAGUAGUUAUAGUAGCUUUGCGUUAUUAUUGCUCUUUUAUCAAUUUGAUUUUUGCUGAUUAUUUAAAAUAAUAUUCUAUAUUUUAUAGUUAGAGUAAUAUUUUUUACAUAUUUGAUGAAUUGUAUAUUUCAGGUUUAUUUUUUCAGACUAUCAUCGAUGAUCAAUGAUAAUAAAUAAAAUAAUUAUUUCGAUAAUAUCUAUCCGCUGUAUCGUGCGGGUAACUACACUAGUAUAUAUAUAUAUAUAUAUAGCAGGUAUGGUCAAGGUAAUUAAUUAAGCCGAGGUUUCGUGGCCAAUCAACUACGCACAUAUGGCAGUAGAGGGAAGAAAUUGACGUCUUUGCGUGCGACGUGGAGGAGGCUUUCUUGUGGUGCGGUGUUGUCCGAGUAUAAUUAAUUAAGGGUAAACUUUGAAUACCACUUCUGUAGUUCCGUAUGUAUUCAUUUUAGUAUUCUGUGGUUUAAAAUAUAUCAAUUUAAUUAACAUCUUAUUGUUUCAUUUUGCUCUUUUCGUCACCCUCUUCGUUAACUUUUUGUUAAAUCAUAUAUAAAAAAUUUCAGAUAUCCCACUUAUAGUUUAUUGAAUAGUUACUUUAGUACCUUUUAGUUUUAUCUUUAUCACUGAUUUAAUGAAAAAAAUUAGUGAAAAGAACAACCAAAAAAAAAAAAAAAAUCAUAGGGCACGAAAGUGA
rnacentral:lncRNA from 1 species